GAUCCUGGCUCAGAAUCAACGCUGGCGGCGUGCCUAACACAUGCAAGUCGCACGAGAAAGGGGCUUCGGCCCUGAGUAAAGUGGCGCACGGGUGAGUAACACGUGAAUUAUCUACCUCCGAGUGGGGAAUAACUGAGAGAAAUCUUGGCUAAUACCGCAUAACACUUACGAGUCAAAGCAGCAAUGCGCUUGGAGAGGAGUUCGCGGCAGAUUAGUUAGUUGGCAGGGUAAUGGCCUACCAAGACGAUGAUCUGUAUCCGGCCUGAGAGGGCGCACGGACACACUGGAACUGAAACACGGUCCAGACUCCUACGGGAGGCAGCAGUGGGGAAUUUUGCGCAAUGGGGGAAACCCUGACGCAGCAACGCCGCGUGGAGGAUGAAAUCCCUUGGGAUGUAAACUCCUUUCGAUAGGGAAGAUAAUGACGGUACCUAUAGAAGAAGCCCCGGCUAACUUCGUGCCAGCAGCCGCGGUAAUACGAGGGGGGCAAGCGUUGUUCGGAUUUAUUGGGCGUAAAGGGUGCGUAGGCGGUUUGGCAAGUCUUGUGUGAAAUCUUCGGGCUCAACCCGAAGCCUGCAUAAGAAACUGCCGGGCUUGAGUAUGGGAGAGGUGAGUGGAAUUUCCGGUGUAGCGGUGAAAUGCGUAGAUAUCGGAAGGAACACCUGUGGCGAAAGCGGCUCACUGGACCAU
rnacentral:rRNA from 1 species